rnacentral:lncRNA from 1 species
UAUAUAUAUAUACUGAAAAGGAACCCUGAGACUUUCUUCAUUUUCCUGAAACUGUGGAAAUCUAGACUUGCCACAUAAUCUAGACUUGCAUGGUAGCUUUCAAUGAUUCUUUAUAACGAACAAAAUUGCUUUGCCAGAUCAGGAAUAUUACUGAAUUGUAGAAAAACUAGUUGCAACUUAACUGUAUUCAGAUUGUUUACAUUAUAACACUCAACAUUCACUAGGAACCUUUUGUGCUUUCAUUUUAAUUCCUGCAUUCUGAUUGGCUGAACUGGUCACAUAUUAUUGCAUUCAUUUCCCAAAGAAUGUAAAACAUUAGGCCAUGCCAAUGAAUGUGGAUUUCACAACAGAUUGUCAGAGAGUUGAGGGAUUUCACUUUCUGAAUGAAACUACAUAUCUGCAGGCUUCUUUUUUUUUUUCACUCAUCAAGGUAACACAAAUGACAUGUGUUCUUUUUUUAAAAUACAGUAUGUAUUCCUUUGCCAGGAAUGUUCAUCAAUCUCAAUCUGUCUGCUUUAAUUUGUAUAAUUGUUUUUGAUAAAAUCGUAGAUAUCAUAUUUGUUUCAUCAUCCAGUUUAAUUAGACAUAUAUGAGGAUUGACUGUAUUUUUUUGUCAUGGAUUCUUACAAAAGUCUGCACAUUGUUUUUUUUAUUCAUAACUCAAUGAACCAAAAACAAACAGUCAAUCCUUAAUUAAACUAGUCAUAGUUUAGUCAAAGGCAUUGUUCAUAGUAAAUGUUGAGAAGUGUAUAAGAAUAUCUACAUUAGGCCAGACCUAUUUUUAUUUCUUGUUGUACGAAUUUUUGUCCUCAGAAACCAAAAGGCAUGAGGGGCAAAAUGUAAAUACACAUUAAAAGUAUUUUCUUUUGGAAAUUUAUGAAGUGUAUAUGGGUAAAAAACAAUCAAAUUCUCUUGUAAGUUUACAUUUUUGGCCAAUAAAAACAUUAGGAUUCUAUUUUUUGAGCGGGGAAAAUUAAUUAUUAUUAUUUUCUUAUUCUUGAAAAAACACGACCGGCGGAUCCGUAAAACAAGAAAUAAAAUUGGUCUGGCCUUGGCAUGUUUUUCGCAUUUUUGGCCUUUAUUUUGUUCCAAAGAUAGGUAGUGCUGUGUGUGUCUGUGGACAGUUCUGUAUUAUAACAAUGCAGGUAGUGUGUGUCUUUAGACACUUGUUUUAUACUGUAGGCAAGUACCGGUAGUUGAGCUGAAACUAGUCAAUUUCUGUAGCAUGAAUAAGUUGAUGUCUUGAGUUUUCAGUCAUCAAUAUUCACUUUCCACUGACAACGCCGAAGACCUGGGUUCGAAUCCCCACAUGGGUACAAUGUGUGAAGCCCGUUUCUUGUGUGCCCCGUCGUGAUGUUGCUGGAAUAUUGCUAAAAGCGGCGUAAAACCAAACUCAGUCAGACUUUUCUCUGACAGUUUGUCUUGUUAGCUGUCUACAUAUAAUGAGAACUAUGGUUGAGAUGUGAGAAAAGCAUCAGGUUUUCAAUAGUUUCAUAAGAUACACUGCAGUUUCCUUCCAGAAUGUGCCCCUUAGUGUCCAGGAUCUGCUACUUGUAGGCUAUAAUUCCAGAUUUGUUUAUUUCGUGAUAAUUGAUUUCACCAGUGCCUGCAACUGUUACUUUUAGUUUCCUACUACUAAGCUGAGAUGCUGAAAUGUAUUUUUUAAAAACCAACCUUUUAAUCCGAUCUCACUGAAUCAAAUUGUGUUUGUUAGGUGUUUAUUGUGGAGCUGUUUAGACAAAGAUAAUGGCUGGCCAUGAAGCACGUAACAUUAGUGCCUUGUCGUAUUGACAGCUUUAUCACAAAUCUGUGUUCAGUCAUCUAAACUUUGUUGUGUUUGAAUUUUUUACUUGUACAUGGCUUUUACAGUACUUAAAUAAACUCAUGUGACAACUGUG